GGAGGCUGGGAAGGUGAAUCCGUGGUGGGACCCGGCGCGCGCAGCCACGGCGUUCGCGGUCGCGGGGUGCGGCUCUUCCUUUUGAGAUGGUCUUGUAGCAACGGGCGGUUCUCAGCUCCCUGCCGCAAGCCUGGGCUAACUUGGCAGAGGAUGAAAAUUCACAUAGAAGAGAGCUGAGUCAUUCCUGCAGAGACCAUCCUCCGUCAGCCAGCCCGCGGCCAACCUGCUAGCUGACCAAGACGCAGAAACUACUGGACAGUUGUUCUGAAGAAUGCCCCUCAAUUUGGGUUUGUCUGAAGGUUUCCCUUGAUUAGAUGCGUGUUGUGCGUUCUGGGGGGAUUUCCACAGAAGUGCUGCUGUGUCUUUCUAAGUGCAUCAUUUCAGAAGAGAUGCUAUCAGGGACUUGGAGGCUUCACUGGAGCUUUGAGAAGGCAUGAAAACCUGAACUGUUUUUGAAAACACUAACACCCAGAGAAGAUUGUUUGGGAAAGACACGAUCCAAGCUCUAUUUAAGGAUCUCAGCGUAUCUACUGCCAAACCUACAACGUGUUCCCUUCUAAAACUUUCCCUUUCAUUGAUGCAGCCAAAAGUCUUUCUGCAGGCAGCUUUCCUAUUUGUCCAAUUCUGGAAAUAUCAAUUCAGCAAAUGCUUCGUCCAGGUUUAAGAUACUAGCAGAUCACAGACCUCAGGAAAGCUCUACAUUCUACAUCAAGUGCAGCCUGGGCAUGUUUUCUUUUUUUAAGGAAUAUCAAAAUUCUAGGCAGACUGUCCUGUUCUGUUGACUAGGUGUUAUUGUCUCCACUUUCCACCUGGUUCACCUGACAAUUUUCUGUUCUGCCACACAGGAAGACAAGUGGAUGGCAACCCAGAAAUUGGAAAAACAGUGAGGAUGGCUUCUGGGCAGGGGUUGAAGAUGGUUUAGGAGAGCUACUUGACUAUUGUUUUAAUCAAUUCUGCUUUGCUACUGAUUAGAGGUUCAGAACUCCUCUUCGGAGGAAUUGCCUCAUCACGAAUAUCUCUGCCAACACAGUGUGGAAAAACAAAUUGAGAUGCAUCACCUAUGAAAUGCCACUAUUUCUAUUUUUGCUUGGCUGAUUCUGCCUCACUCCUAUCCUAUUGUUUGCCAAUUGAAAACAAACUAAAAACAAGGCAUUCAAGUCCUACUUUCUCUCUCUCUUUACUUUAUCAGUAUGAACUGCUCUCAGAAGACAGUAUAUUAUACUGGUUGACACCAUAGCUUUGCUCUCAGAUAGGUUUAGGACCACCUCACAAUUUGUCCAUUAUUGUGUCUAAGUAUUCACAUGAAAUAUUUAGCUCUUUAAACCCCACUCUCCUUAUCUAUACAAUAGGUGUCAUAAAACAGUGAAGUCACAGCUUACUUAGAGUUCAGAUUUUAAAUUAACUCAUAAGGUGUGAAUUGGAUGUAGUUAAUGUUGUCAUGGAAGAACCCUUACAUCACCCAUAAAAUAGAGAGCCGUGGUUUUAUGUAUACAAUUACACAGCACAGGUGUUUGUAAAUGUAUAGUAAUGCAUAUAAUAAAGUGCACUCUAUAAAACAGAGAGCACAUAUGCGAAAUACAACUUUAUAGUAUAUUAGAUAUGCCAUUAGAUUGCUAUUUUUAUUUCUUGCUCUUGCUCUUUUUUUGGUUGUUCUUGGUUUUGCUCAUUUGACAUGAUUGAAUUCACAUAUGACGCAACUCUAGUUUAUCUACCUUAUGGAGUUGUUGUUAGGAAUAAAAGAAAUUAUGCAUGAUUGGCAAAUUGCUAAUUCUGUAUAAAUGAUGAAGGAGAUGAUGUUGAUGAAGAAGGUGAGGAUGAUGGAGAUGAUGAAGAUUAUGAUGAAAAUGAUGAUGAUUUGAAGAUUUUAACCAUACUCAGUUUCCUUAGACUAAUCUGUAUUAUUGUAGGAUUUCCUACAUUGACAAAGAGGGUCAAAAUGUCAGGCAUAGGAUAGUGUUCUUUGCACUAAUCCUCAAAAUUAAUAGAAUAUAAAUGUACAGACCCUAAUACUUAACGUAUAAAAAUCUGUGUCUCCUUUAAUUUUACUCUGCUGGACUGUCUCACAAGUCCAACGCACUUUCACCUGAACAGCCUGACUGGGAUAGAAUUACAUCUUAACCACAUACACCGAAGUUCUCUGGUCUCCACUGAUGAGAAGGAUCAGUUAGAACAACGCUAUUUUGUGGUUAUAAGACAUCAAACCGCAGUGAACUUUAGUUCCCUAAGUGACUCUUUAAAUAUUUAAUAUCAUGUUAAAAAAUGUACAAACGUAAUUGCAGAGAGCAGGUUGGGGGGUGAGAGGAGAGAACACUGUAGAUCAAGGACAAACAAUGGGCUUUUUGCAAAACCUGCACUAGAGCUCUCUUUCCUGAGACGGCACAUCACAUGGUUGAUUAUUUGGGCAUAUCUUCAGGUAAUAAACAUUACUCUGCAACAUUAAAAUAUGCACUGUUACAGUCAGAUGAGAUUUAAAGGAAAAAAAGAGUUAAUCUAGCCUUUUGAAAUUCCCUGUUUAAAUAUAACUUUUUAUUAUGGAAAUUAUUAAACACAUACUGAAGUGAGGAGAAAAGUAUAAUGAUUCCCUUUGUACCUCAUCACCCAGCUUCAACAAUUAUCGACACUUUGCCUCUUGUAUUUCAUCUCUGCCUCACUAAUCCCCAACCUCACCUGCUUUUUUUUUUUUGGGGUACAUUUUAAAGCAAAUCCCAGGCAUUGUCUAUUUUCAUUGUAAAUUAUUCAAUAUAGAUCUUCACAGAGUAAGCCUUUGGAAAAAAUAUAACCAUAAAUUAAGAAUAAUUUCUUGAUACCAUAAAAAACCAGCUACAAGACCCUUUUAAGUAGUAGAGGUAUUUAAAACUAGCAGAAAACCUUGUCUUUGGUAACUAACCUGAUUUGAUGAAUUGUUACACUGUCACCUCAUACUAAGCACGCCGUUCCACCCUGAUUUUGGCAACACAUAUUCUGGAGCUGUCUUAUUAUAAGUGGUAUAGAUCAGGAUUGGCAAGCUUUUUCUGUAAAGGGACAGAUAGUAAAUAUUUUCGGUUUUGUUGCCCAUAUGGUCUCUGUUAUGACCACUUAACUCUGCCAUUGUAAGUGAAGGUAGCCACAGAUAAUACACAAAUGAGCAUGCCUGUGUUCCAAUAAAAUUUUAUUACAACAAAAGGCAGAGGAUUGGAUUUGGCCCUUGGGCCAUAGUUUGCUGACCCUGGGUGCAGAUAAAGCAACCCAACUCCUACCCCAAAAGGGUCUGCGAGCCCUGGAGUCAACACUGUCCUGAAGAGUUGAGUGUGUUGUUGUUGAAGAGCAUGCCUUAGGAAUUAGAAUACCCACAUUCCAGACCUGUCCUGGCAUUUGGAAGAUGCUGAAUAGGCCACUUUUGGCUUUAUGGUUUCUCACUUAUUAGAUGAAGACAGAGGCACCUGUCCUUCUUGCUUAAAGAGUUUAUUGCAGGACCGAAUGAGAUCAUGAAUAUGGAAGUGCUAACUAGAGCCAUACGGGGCUGCUCAAAUAGAUGUGAUUGUCCACAUUACUCUGAAAUUCUGGAUGGUUCUCUCUUGAUGGCUCUUAAUUGCAUUUUAUCCCUCACCUUCCAUUUUUCUGGAUGCCAGACACAUGACAACAAAAAGCAAGCUUACAUUCACUGAUCACUUUUAUGUAUGUGCUAGGGACUUUUCUAGAGGGGUUUACAUGCAUAAUCCUGUUUGAUCAAUCAGGUAUUAUUAUCUUGAUUUAAAUGGCAAAGGAACCGAGACUGAGAGAGGUUAAGAAAUGGCCGAAUCCCUAUUGGGAGUGAGUGGCAGAGUCAGAACUUGAACUGUCUGACUCCAUAGCCCUUAGGCUAAACUGUCACUUUUCUCCUUUCCGCAAUGUCACCAACUAACCCUUUUGUAGUCUACAUUGUGCUUUUCUACCUAUGUGAGCUCAUUUAAUCUUCUGCAGAGAUAUUAAGUAAUUCACUCAAGUCACCAACCUGAAUAACUCCUACUUAUCCCUCAGAGAUCUAGCUUUACUGUCAUUUCCCAAGAAAGACCAUCUCUUACCCCCCCAAAAUGGGUCAGGUCUCUGUGUUAAACACAUUUACUGUUACAUCCUAUACUUGCUUGACCAUGUCAUUUCACUUCUGUAACUAAAGACUCAUCAUGGAGAAAAUGCCAUGAAAGCAGAAAUUAUGUCAUUCUUGUCACCAUCCCUGGCCUAUGAGUG